GGUUCAUAUAUGCUUCUGCAAUGUAGCAAGUGGAGACUUGCAUUAUAUGCUGGCCAAAGGGCCCUUUUUGAGGCUCCAGGGCCAUCUGUACACCAAUUUAAAUGGUAUAGUCCAAUUUGAACACCCCUCUAUAUUGAGCUAAAAUGGAAGAGCCUCUUUUGCAGUGUUUGCUGGGAAGAAGAAGUACAGUCGGGAUUGGGACUUUGGAGAGGAGGUAGCAAUCUGAAGAGGUCCUUGGAAAAAAAGAAAACAAGAUCUCCAUUUGGGACAUCCAGUUUUUCUCACUGCAACCAUUGCUGUGGUAUGAGUCACGCCCACACCCUACCCUUAUAUGGCAAAGAGGGGGCGGGGCUGUUUCUCAGACCGGACAGUGAAAUGGUGGCUGCUUGUACAAAAACAGCAGCAGCACCAUUAGGAACCGAGCAGCUACAGACACAUUUACAGGUAAGAUCCGUAGCUUAGAACAUUCUCCUGCUUCUAGGUUCUACUUAACAUGCAUCCUGUGACAUGAAAAUGAAAUGAUAUUGCUGCUUCAUGUAUCUGAACGAUGCUGUUUGUCUAACCUCCCUCUUGAGCUAAUUGUGUUAGCCUGUUUACAAGCCAUCCUGCCAUUCAUUCCGCCUAGAAACCUAUUUUACCAAACCGAC
rnacentral:lncRNA from 1 species